CAGCAGCCACGGUAAUACGGAGGAUCCAAGCGUUAUCCGGAAUCAUUGGGUUUAAAGGGUCCGUAGGCGGUCUUGUAAGUCAGUGGUGAAAGCCCAUCGCUCAACGGUGGAACGGCCAUUGAUACUGCAGGACUUGAAUUAUUGGGAAGUAACUAGAAUAUGUAGUGUAGCGGUGAAAUGCUUAGAGAUUACAUGGAAUACCAAUUGCGAAGGCAGGUUACUACCAAUUGAUUGACGCUGAUGGACGAAAGCGUGGGUAGCGAACAGGAUUAGAUACCCCUGUAGUCCCUGUCUCUUAUAA
rnacentral:rRNA from 1 species